rnacentral:sRNA from 1 species
ACUUUCAAAAGUUGAUAUCGUUGUGUACAAGAGAUGCAAGGAAGAACGGACAUGAAUGAUACAAUUCCCAAAAAAUUGAAGACCCAACUGCUCGUUUAGCUAGUCUAUCGGCACAUCUAUUUUGUUGGCGAGGUUUACAACUGAAGACGACCUGUGUAAAAGCUCUUUGCCAAUCCCAAAUUGUUUGUAGGUAGUGCUGUAGUCGAGGAGUAGAUUCAUUGUUAUUCAGAAGCCGGGUUAUGUUGCAAUUGUCACCCUCAAACACUACGUGACGAUAACCUAGGGCCCAUGUAGAUUGUAGCGCUCAUAGAAGUGCCGAGCACUCUGCUUCUUCUGCUGAGAUUCGACCCUGAAAUUUGCCCUGUCCACAGUCCAAACAUACACCAUCGGAGUUACGAAUUAUCCACCCUAGUCCUGAGCAACGAUCAUUGAACUGAUGAGACGCAUCGUAAUUGCACUUUACCCAGCCUCUCGGUGGGGUACUCCAUUUUUGUUGACGAUUAAUCAUUUGAGUAGGAGGG